rnacentral:rRNA from 1 species
CACGGGGGGAGCAAGCGUUGUUCGGAAUCACUGGGCGUAAAGGGCGUCUAGGCGGUCAAGUAAGUGGGAUGUGAAAUGCCCCGGCUCACCCGGGGGACCGGCAUCCCAUACUGUUUGGCUUGAGUACGGGAGAGGAUGUGGGAAUUCCUGGUGUAGCGGUGAAAUGCGCAGAUAUCAGGAGGAACACCGGUGGCGAAGGCGGGUCUCUGGGCCGAAUACUGACGCUGGAGGAGCGAAAGCGUGGGGAGCGAACAGG